rnacentral:rRNA from 1 species
AAUAGAUACCCAGGUAGUCCUAGCCGUAAACGAUACUCGCUAGGUGUCGGCCACGGUGCGACCGUUGUCGGUGCCGUAGGGAAGCCGUGAAGCGAGCCACCUGGGAAGUACGGCCGCAAGGCUGAAACUUAAAGGAAUUGGCGGGGGAGCACCACAACGGGUGGAGCUUGCGGUUUAAUUGGAUUCAACGCCGGAAAUCUUACCGGGACCGACAGCAAUAUGAAGGCCAGGCUGAAGACUUUGCCGGAUUAGCUGAGAGGUGGUGCAUGGCCGUCGUCAGUUCGUACUGUGAAGCAUCCUGUUAAGUCAGGCAACGAGCGAGACCCACGCCCACAGUUGCCAGCGUACUCUCUGGAGUGACGGGUACACUGUGGGGACCGCCGCUGCUAAAGCGGAGGAAGGAAUGGGCAACGGUAGGUCAGUAUGCCCCGAAUAUCCCGGGGCUACACGCGAGCUACAAUGGUUGGUACAAUGGGUAUCUACCCCGAAAGGGGACGGGAAUCUCCUAAAACCAUCUUAGUUCGGAUUGAGGGCUGCAACUCGCCCUCA